ACCCGGGAUGCUACUUGAUAAGAAGUAUUCAAAUAAUAUAUUUUUUGUGUCCGAUCUCUAUGCUGACCCGGCAUCGAACGCCAAAAAGUCCCAUUUUCUGAAUCAUCGUCCUCUCUCCCGAGAAAACCCAAAACACAUCUUUCAGUGAGAUCUAUUUCAAAAUCACCCUCCGUCUCCUCAUCUCCUUCCUUUGUGCCAAGUCAUUUUCUUCCAUUCUUCCAGCAACCUCACUGAAAUCAUUUGAUUUGGGCGCUGCCUGCUUCUCCUCUUUAAUCUCAUCGAUCUCAUCAUUCUCUUCGAUCUAGGGUUUUUUUUCUCUGUCGUUGGUCGGCCAUUACAAAGCCACAAUCGUCUUCUUACCAAUUUUGUUUAAGCUCUAUUUACCUGAGUAUGGAUGCUUCUGACUCGGCCAUUGCCAGCUCUUUGUUUCUAGUCGUCGGAGAAAACAUGGUCGAGUCAACUUUUCCGACGCGCGAGUAUUAUUUGCUUAAGCAACCCUUGCCGAGUCACCUUCUCCGAUGCGUGAGAAUUACAAAGGCACGCGUCUUCUUUUUCUAUCAUUGUCUUGUCGUCUUUUUGCUCUCACUCUCUUUCUUCUGAGUUCACCGUUGCCACAUGUAUGAUGUAGUCAACAUAUUGGAGAGUGGUGGAAUUGCAGCAAGAUAAGGGAAAAUUCUAUACCUAUGGAAAGGUUUUAGAGAAAUUCCUCGAGCUUUGAACGAGCUUAAGGUAAACAGACAUUUCCUUCCUUCACAUGAGUUAUUUUGUUUAAACUUAAUAACUUAGAGUUGACUGUGCUAUAUUAUACUCGUAGGAAGAGGGUGUGAGAGAAAAUUUGAUGUAGCCUACUGCAAGUCAGCUAAAAUAAGUUUGACUUUUUAAUGUGGUCACUUAAAUGUUUUAAGGCUGCUCCAUUGUUGGCAAGUUACCCGUACUUGCAUAUUGGUACACACAUGACGACGGGAAGCUGAGGAUCCAACUUUUGAUAUAUACUUGGUGGAAUGGGUUGGGUUUUAAUCUUGCAUUUACAUGUUGAUUUCAUGUAUAUUUGAAACUGAAAGUGAAGGGCUUGAGAGAGACUUGCCAUAACUUUAAGUAAGGACACUGAUGACAAGAUUUGUUUAAUAUAGCAACUGUGGUGAGGCAUGUCAUGUAUAUAAAGCUAGAAUUAGUGAAAUCAAUAUUUAGCAUUUUGUAUAGCUAGAGUUAGUCGUGGACUGUAAUUAUUUUUAUGAUGAUUAUAAUUAUUGCUUUCAAUUGAGCAAUAAUUAUACUCAGUUUGCAGAUUUUCCAAAUUAGCUUGGGGAAAUGGGCUGGGGAUUGCAUACAAAAGAUGAAUAUUGGCAUAGAAGGGUUAUCAUCCUAGAAUUGCUUUCAUCCCAUAUUAUAUGAUUACAUGUUCAGUUGUAAUGGUAAAUAUUUAGCAUUUUGAUUGCACAUUUUGUAUUGCUAGAAUUAGUCAUGUAUAUGAAGCUAGAAUUAGUUGAGUCAAUAAAUAUAAAAGGCUUCAGAUAUGAUGCCACUUGCCUGCAUUUCAUUUUUUACCAGAAUGACCAACCAGCAAAUUAAUGGCUGCUUAUCUGUAUAAUAAGAUUGUUGAUUCCCCAACCCUCUCUUGAAGAAUCAGGAAGAAUGUCGAUGAAAACGUGGCUGAGAAUUUUCCAUAUUUUCUAAGGUUAGCUUUAUACUCAGUUUGAUUUUUAUUUUUGAUUUGUAUUUUUUCUUCUAAUAUAAAAAAUCAACAUCAUUUUCUUUCAAGCUGGGUGGUUUAAUUGGAGAAAAGCUAAAGGACUUAUUUGUGACCGUAAGGUGCCUAAUAAACUUAAAGGAAAGUUUUAUCGUACUGCUAUCAGACCGGCAAUGUUAUAUAGUAGUGAAUGCUGGGCUCUAACGGGACAAUAAGAGCAUAAAGUUGGAGUAGCAGAGAUGAAAAUGUUACGAUGGAUGUGCGGACAUACUCGUAAAGAUAAAAUUCGAAAUGAGCACAUACGUGAAAAAGUGAGGGUGGCACCUAUUGAGGAAAAAAUGGUAGAAAAUCGGUUGAGAUGGUUUGGGCAUGUACAAAGAAGACCAAGGGAGGCACCAGUGAGAAGAGUGGAACAUAUAACUUUGAGUCCGAUUAAGAGAGGUAGAGGAAGGCCUAAGAGAAUACUCUUGGAAGUUGUUGAACGUGAUCUCUUAAUUAAUAAUAUUUCUAAAAGCUUAAUAAAUGAUAGAGCACAAUGGCGUCUUGCAAUCCAUGUAGCCGACCCCACCUAGUGGGAUAAAGGCUUCUUGUUGUUGUUGUUGUUGUUGUAUUGUUGAUGGAUCAAUAGUUUCAGUUCUCCUUUUCUCCAAUUGUCUUGCAGUUUCUGGCUUUUCUCUCUAAUACACAUGGGCAUAUUUAAGAAAGCUAGAAGGGAUUGACCAGAAUUUAUUUUUCACAUUCAUCUUAUUUUUUCUUCCAUUUUAAUGUGCCUUGAUUUAUUUCAGGAUUUUUGUAUAUAGUUGAAUGUUGUUUAACAUAGAGUUACAAUGUGGUUAUCUUCUUAUUCCUUUGAUGAGUAUGUCAUUAGAUUACUUCAACUUUUGCUCAUGUUAUGUUUCCUGAUUAAAAGAGUUGGUAAGCUCAUUUUUCAGCAAAUGAAUAGAACAUUGAAGUUUAGUUUCUUUCUAGCUUUAUUGGUAUUAGCAUAAUUAAUCAUCAUCCCUGUGAUGAAUUUAGGAUGAGAAUAAAAGUAAGAAGGGCCUUGCAGAAAUUUAUGAUAUUUGUAUUUUUAUUUUAACUAUCAUGUAUUGUAACUUAUAAAUCCCCCACUAUAACCCUUGUUGCCUUUCCUUAUGGUUUACGUAGAAACUCCCUUUUAUUGUUAAAUUUUGUAGUGCAUGAAGAAUUUGUUUAGAAGAUAGACCCUACUUUAAGUUCUAAUGGGGAUGAUUGUUUAGAUUUUAAGUUCAUAUUUGCAAAGACAGACUAUGCAUUUUGGUAUUCUAAUUCUAGCCAGUACAAUCAUAUUGAUAUGUAUCUAUGAUAUUUUAUUCUAAUUUUUUAAUCCACUUUUGAAUUUUGAAUUUCAAAACUCCCUCCAUCUCUUCAAAUUUUGUCUACAAAAGAUGAUCUUUUCUAUCAUCCUGUUCUUUAUUUUUCCCUCCCCUUUUCUUCUUGCUUUCAUCCUUUGCUUCGUAAUUUUGAAAUUUGUGCAGGGGGUCUUUGCAUUCUUCUUGUCCUAUUUUACCUGCCAUGUUUUGUUUCAUAUGUGGUCGCUUCUUUAUAUUUAUAUAUAUAAUAUCAUUGGUAUAUGUGAUAAUGCCAAUUUUGGCAAAUAUGCUUUCUGAUUUUUUUAGCAUCAUUUAAGUUUUGCAUAUUGUUUAUGACACUAUUGGAUAACAAAGUGUUUUCAUGCCUAAGCUGUUGAGGGUCCUUAAAUUGACAUGGAAGCAUCAACUUUACAAAUAUUACAAUGAUUUUUAACUAAAAUUCAGCAGGUGCAGAUAUCAGAAGCAAUGUUAGUUUUUAAAUGCAACUUGACCUGAGAGAAAAGCACAUUGCAGAUGCAUCAAGCCUCUGAUCAACAAGAGACCUAAUUUAAUUUGAACCCAUCAUAGAUGCGUAAGAAAAGGGACUGCGUUAUUUCCACAUCAAAACCUGUUGCUAUCUGACAAAGUGACAACAAUAAAGUGGAUUCCAUUUUGUACAUUCUACACAUCUCAAUGAAAGAGAGAGACUACUCACUAAUUAAGAACUUAAGACUCUUUAUCCACCGAAGGAAGAUGAAUCCAUAUCUAAAAUAAGUUAAAUCACAGACAAUGACAACUGGGAUAAGAAGCCCGUUAGUAUUUGUCUUGACUUCCUUUGUUGAUUUGAUUUAAAUUUCAAUAUUUAUUUUCAACCUUGACUUUUUCUACUGUUAGUUCAUUUGUCUUGAUUCUAAUUAACUCAUGUCACAGGGGAGAGCGUCAUUUCAUGGCAGAAAUACAUGAUCUUGGAGAACAUGUAUAUACUAUAGAAUUGUGAUUUUUGUAUCUUAUAUUUUUCUGAUAGAAGCAAAAUUUUGUUCUUAUUGCUUAUUUAUUCUGUCAAUUUUUUAAAAGUUGUUAAUUGUUGAUAUUGUGACAUUGACUUUUAAGUUUUCUGGAUAAAGAGACUUACUUAAUCUCUGUCAUCUGACAUUGUGAAGUAUGCUUAUUAUUUUUUAUUUAAUUAAUUAUAAUAAUUUCUUCAUCAAUAAUUUGUUGUGCCCUGUUUUUUAUUUGUUGAAAUUGUGGCAAUUUCCCAGCAUUUUGAGUUUUCAUGCUUUGUUUCUUGGCAAGUAAUUGAUAAAUCAUAUCCUUUUGGUAGUAUAGACAAAUUUGAAGACGCAAGGUGACAUAAUAACCUCCUGCUGAAUCUGUAGCCAGCUGUCAAUUCUUUUACAUCGCAAUUUGAGUUUUGCAUGCAGUCAACGUUGUUUUUUGUGAAAAUUUUCAGACAGCUGAAAAAGGAUGCAGUUUGGAGAGAUAAUAUGCCUCAAGAACCAUCCAUCUUUUUGUGAAAACUCAGGCUACAGAUUCAACGAAACUAUUAUCCCAAGUCUGCAUCAUUACCCAAUUUGUGCUUAAUAGCCUUCAGAUAGGUGUGAUUUAUACUGCCUUGUGUAAUGCCGAUGACAGUGACCGCUCUCUGAUAAAACAUAAUUCACUUCUACUUUGGUUUUAUGGUCUCCAUUUGGUAUCCUUUUUCCCCUGUUUCUCUUCCUUUUCACUUUUCUUUUUUUCAUCUUCUCUGUUCUUUCUUAACCAUGUUGAUUGAUUGCUACUUGCAAGGUAAACUCAUCAACAUUGUUUUGAAUAGAACUUGCCAUUGUAAGUGACUGUAUUCUAACAUUUAAAGUACAAGAAGGUUAAAGUAAUUUUUUUAAAAUUUUAUAUAUAAAAGUCAUCAAAAAAAUGAGUCUGUUCACAGUUGAAAACACCUUUAUGACUGGAAGUGGUGCUCUGAUUUGGAGGAGCUCUUUCUCCAUCCACGGAAGUCAUUUGGAGUAAUCCAUCUCAAACUUCUACUUUACUCUCAUGUUUUAGCACUUGUAUUUCUUUGGGGUUCAUAAACUGGUGCAAUUGACUUCUAUUUUUGCCUUUGCCAACUAUUUGUUGUCUCGACAACCUUUUGUUGAGUGACAUCUUGCACGUAUAUUUAAUUGAGGUUCAUCAUAUUUGGCCAAAUGCUGCUUUUUGAAUGUGUUGAUUUUUUAAUUAUACAUUAAAUGCUGUUGUCCUUGACUCAUUAAUGGUGUUUUUCCUUUGUUUGAUAUUUAUUUCCUCUGAUGUUGACAAUUCAUUAUAUUGAUGCAUCCACCAUUGAAAAGGAAGCUUAACCCUUGAUAUUUUAUUUACACUUCAUGGAGCAUUUUUCUUUCAAAGCUUAGCCCAUAUAUGUGGUAACUAGCAAAACUAUUUAAAAUUCACUUUCUCCUUAUCGGUCUGUACUUUAUUUUUUCUUUUUGACCUGGUAAAGGUUUGUACUAUCAAAGCUAUGGUUUUGUCAGGAAAUGACUGUAGAUAUGAGGAAUAUUCUUUUCUAAGUACCCUAUAGAAGGGCAUGCUUUGGCUUUCCUUUUUUAAUACAGAUAAACUUAAAUGCCAAUUUCGUGCAAUCGCAGCCUGUGGUAGCUUUGGCUCGGAUCUUGGGCAACAUGCUUUUAGUUUGUCUUCAUGGAUGACUCUCCAUUGUACAAUUUAUUUGAUUUGAAUAGGUUUCACCUUCUCGAAAAAAAAAAGUUCUAGAGGCAUUGGCAUGUUUUCUUAUUUUAGUCUCUGCAUUUAUUAUUAUUGUAUGGUAGCUUGAAAGGCUAGAAUAGUAUUUUAACUCCAAGAUAAAUAACUCUUUUUCGCAAAUACAAGGCUACAAAGGUCUUGAGAACUCAUUCCUUCA